UCGUAACAAGGUUUCCGUAGGUGAACCUGCGGAAGGAUCAUUAAUUG
rnacentral:rRNA from 11 species